rnacentral:ncRNA from 2 species
GGACGAGCCUCUGGAGAGACUUUUUAAAAGCACCGAAGGAGAAAGCUGAUUAAUUCAGUGAAACUCUCAGGUAAAAGGACAGAGAUUAGAGU